rnacentral:tRNA from 1 species
GGGUUGUUAGCUUAAUGGUAAAGCACCUGACUCUUAAUCAGAUGAUUGUAGGUUCAAGUCCUAUACAACCCA